AGAGGAACCUCCCAGGUCACAGCUUCGACCUGGGAGAUCCCCUGUGGUCUCACCCCAGCUCCGGUUCCGACAAAGGCCUUCUCUUUGCUUUCCAGAAAUUUGCUUUCCAGAAAUGUUUCUCCUUGGAGAUACGCAAGUCAGGGAACAGGUUCCAAUCCAAGGCCACGGGCUUGGCCACAGAUGGAAUGAGGCACAUCGACUCCACACCUGACGUGUUUCUCCAUGCACAGCAGGGACCUGGUGUUUGUGUCUCUGUAAGAAACAGCUGGAGAGCCACAGCACAAGUUGGCCCUUUUCGUAGUAACGACGGCCCUUCUUUGUGGGUGUUCCCCGCGGGCCUUGGGAAACCGUUAUACCCAGAGAACCUCACCUGAGAGUUCCCCCUGCUGCUGGCUUUGUGUUCCUCCAAAGCACCUGGUCUGGGGCUCUGCCCAGAAUGGGCGGCCUCGUCUACACUGCUGAUCCUGCCCCUGGAAACAGGCUUCACCAAGGGGCCCUGUGCCGUCAGUCCACAGACUUCAUGGAGAUUGCGGGAUCCUUCCGCAGCUGAGCCCUUCCAGAAUGAGAAGUCCUUUAGGCUCUCUGCCCAGCUCUGAUCUGCAUCCUGCCUCCUUGAUUUCUCAACUCCAUGCAGCUCAGGUCCCACUCUGGCUUCCUGGCAUCACGCUCACCCUUGCCGGGGUGGGGGGAAGGAGAGGUAAGAGGGGAAGCUUAGUGUCUGGGUUUUUAAUCUGUCUGGGAGGGAAAUCAGUGUUUUUAGUGGACAACUUAAAUGUUUACUUUGACAAAACGUAGAGACCCAGGGGGUUCCCGUCGUGGCACAGUGAUUAAUGAAUCCGACUAGGAACCAUGAGGUUGUGGGUUCAAUUCCUGGCCUUGCUCAGG